UACGUAGGGUGCAAGCGUUGUCCGGAAUUAUUGGGCGUAAAGAGCUCGUAGGCGGUCUGUUGCGUCGACGGUGAAACCCUCCAGCUCAACUGGGGGCCUGCCGUCGAUACGGGCAGACUAGAGUGCGGUAGGGGAGACUGGAAUUCCUGGUGUAGCGGUGAAAUGCGCAGAUAUCAGGAGGAACACCGGUGGCGAAGGCGGGUCUCUGGGCCGUUCACUGACGCUGAGGAGCGAAAGCGUGGGGAGCAAACAGG
rnacentral:rRNA from 1 species